rnacentral:rRNA from 1 species
AUGAGUCUACUUUGCUGGAACUGCCGCGAAAUUGGCAAAGCUAUGAUAGUUCGGGAGCUUCGCGAUCUUGCGAGGUAGUUUGCCCCCUCUAUUCUUUGUAUUCCUGAAACACACAUAGAGGGUAUGAGGGUAGAGAAUCUGGCAGAAGGUUUAGGUUUCAAUAGAAGUUAUGCAGUGAGUAGUUCUAGACGGAGUGGUGGUCUUUGUAUCUUUUGGAAUGAUGAAAUAAAAGUGGAAGUUAUUGGUUAUUCGAGGUACCAUAUUGAUGCAUUAGUAGAUAGUAUGGUGGACGUGCAGGUUAGAGUAACCUUUGUUUACGGAGAGGCUCAAGUUCCGGACAUGAAAAAUACUUGGAAUACUCUAAAGAAUAUAGCCGAGUCAUAG